AUUUACCUUUCUUUCUCGCAUUACCUGAUGUUCUCCCUCAGCAUACUUAGUAAGUGAAUAACACAGCAACAGAUAUAAAUAGAUACUUUUAGUCAGUGGUUAAAAAGAAAUUGUGCGUUUCUCUGGCCAGUUACUAAUAAGAUUGAUCAUUGGCUAACUUUAAUGCAAAUAAACCAAAAUAUAUAUGUUUUCAAUCAGUAACUGUUCUUUUAAUUACUCAAUUUAAUAUCAAUAUGGGAACUUUAUGUGGAUAUAUUUUGUGUUUUAUUUACACUUUGUGUUGGGUUAUAUGUAUUACCGCUGAUGAAAUAUUUGAGUCCGAUUUAGGCGAAGACAUGAAAAUAGGUCUUGCAGAUGGUGGGUACAAAAGUGUAAAAUUAAAGUGCGGUUCAAAUUCGAUGCACAUUAAACUGGAAACGGACGAAGAUUUUGAUGGCGUGAUUUAUACACGAGGAAGUUUUCAUGAUAAAGAUUCCGCUUGUUAUCUAGAUGCAGAUUCAAUAAGAGAAAAACGUUCCUUUAAUAUGUCUUUCGAUCUGGACAAAUGCCAAACGAAACAAGAAGGAAAAGUCUACACAAACGUUUUAGUUCUCCAACAUGAUAAAGAGUUGAUUAUGCCUGGUGACGCAGCUUUUACUCUGGAAUGUGAUUUUGAGAAACCACGUGAGGUGACUCUUCAAGCAAACUUAAAUAGUAGGGAGUCAACGAAAGUGAUUUCUCGCAUCAGUUUAACCGAUGCAGAUCCUGGCAAGAAAUCUAAACGGCCCAAACGUUCACUAGCAUCCCCCACGGAAGUAGAGAUCACUCCAAAAUCCGCGAGAACGUUGAGUAAGGAAGAAUUGUAAUUAUGCUUGUAGCUGGUUAUAUUGCAAAGUAGAUUGCGCCAUGAUUUUAAUUUUAUACCAAUAAGAAAUUGUCAUUAUUAUUGUUGACUUGCAGGUAGUGUUUAACUCCUAUACGCAACUUGCCGCAUUUUGUACUUACAUCUUUCAAUUAAACAUGUUGCGCAGCACUAAAAACACCACUAACAAAAAGUCCAGGUAAACCAGGAACGCUGGCGGCAAUCUUCAUAACAAAGUAUGGCAACAAUUGAUCGGAUUUUCCAAUAGACCCUCUUAUUAUAGGGUCACAAUCAUGGUAAGAUGCGUAAAUUAAUAAUCCCAUAUAGCAACACAUUGAUACAAGUGAAGUUAUGCCAAUAACCAAUAUUAAAAUGGUACUAAAAGUUCAAAAAAGUUUUAAAACAUUUAGAAUUGAAAUCAAUGAAGAUAUCAAUUACAAUCGUGCUGAUUUUAAUGUUGGCAUAGCAAGACAUCUCUGUACCAUUGCUUGAUUGAUAGAACAGCUUGCUAACCAAGAGAAGUAGUUACCAAUCGAUACAGUCCAAAACGUGUGACGGAUAGUAGGAUCCCAAUCAAAACUAAAAAUGUAUAAAUUGGUUCCGUAAUUGUAAGUUUAAGUUACAUUAAGUACGUUAUGUAUUACUUAAAAAACUCAAGUCGUUCUCCUUCAUCAUUGAUUCUCCAUACUUCAGCAAACCCUCCAAUUGAAAUAGUGCCCAUAACAACAACUACAAUAAGAGCCCCAAACAUAACAACAGUUUGAAUUGUAUCUGUCCAAACUACAGCUUUUAAUCCACCCUGAAAGUAAUUGAAUUUUAUACUUAAAGUAUUAUAGAUUCAUGAAAUAAACUAUUAUUAUUUGCA